CGGGGUUGUAUUGUAACCAAGCU
rnacentral:miRNA from 8 species